rnacentral:rRNA from 1 species
AUUGAACGCUGGCGGCAGGCCUAACACAUGCAAGUCGAGCGGAGCGGCGGACGCGUGCGUAAUGCCUAGGAAUCUGCCUGGUAGUGGGGGAUAACGUCCGGAAACGGGCGCUAAUACCGCAUACUCUCAGAUGAGCCUAGGUCGGAUUAGCUAGUUGGGGGGGUAAAGGCAUACAAAGGCGACGAUCCGUACCUGUUCUGAGAGGAUGAUCAGCCACACUGGAACUGAGACACGGUCCAGACUCCUACGGGAGGCAGCAGUGGGGAAUAUUGCACAAUGGGCGAAAGCCUGAUGCAGCCAUGCCGCGUGUGUGAAGAAGGUCGUCGGAUUGUAAAGCACUUUAAGUUGGGAGGCGUUACCCACAGAAGAAGCACCGGCUAACUUCGUGCCAGCAGCCGCGGUAAUUC